AGGAUUCAGAGGGCUUCAGUCUGCCAAGUGCAGAGCAUUGGUGACACCAACAACUCUUUGGUCGCUUGGUGAUGGUUACAUUUAGAAGAGGCCAAUGAAAUCUAUAUAACUGAUGAAAUGUUCCCGUUCUACAAAUAAUCAAAGCAUGAGGGCCUUCUCUAUUUUUCCCAAUCAUAUUUGUAUGUUUGUUCACUUUUGUCAUUUGUUUCCCACUUGCAGAGGGUUUGCUGCAGCACUGCUGGGUGUCGAGGUAGUCUGGGUGAGGCGGGUUCAGCCCUGAUCCAUGACCUCCUUCAUGCUCCAGAUCAAGCCCUCCAUCAAGAUGCUGCCCCUCUGAACAAGAUUGGAUUUUGAUGAACCCAAGCGGUACUCCUCUCUGCGUUUCACUCAUUUGUCAGAAGAGUAUGUAGCGAGGUUAUUCAUCAAAAGUAUUUACAAACCAUGGCACGUCUAAUUGUAAGCCCCUUGACCUGGCUAGGAUCACAACCCCACAGAUCUUUUUCGUCGUACUCUUGUCUUUAUCGUAGCCUACUGGAAUUAGGGCGUAUAAGUUGAGAUUUUAACAUGUGUGUGUGAUUGUAACCUCCGGAAUGAGCUUUUUUUUAUCUUCUGCUAUUAAUAUAUUGAGAUCAUUCACAAAUCGGUAAAUAUGGUUAUUUUCCUGCUAUAUUUACCAUGCCACCAGAAAUGUAUCAUUGUUCCUGCUAUGUGCUCUCACUGCCACUACCUCUCCAAGCUUGUGCUGUGUGCUCUGCUUCCUUUCUCCUUUCUCUUGAAAAAAUAAUAUCAUUGUUAUAUCUGCAAACAAAUAUACUUGGUUGACAUUUCCUGCCAUCAAUGGGGAUUAGUAGAUUUUAAUUCUAUUGUUCAUUCCACUGUUUUUCCUGCCUUUGUAGCUGAAUGAUUGGUGCGAGAACUUGGACUGAAUUCAAAUAUGUAGCAUACUUAUCUUCUUGAAACAAUAGCAGAGAAAAUUGAAACAAUACUCCGUUCGUUAAUAAUCAGUUCGACAAACAGUAUACUAAAUUUUACAUUUGCACGACUACUGGUUUAUGAUGCAAUAAGGGAUAUACACGUCAGUUGUAAUAUCUCCUUGCACUAUCUAGAUUUCCUUUCUCGGUGAUAUAUGUUUGGCGAUCUAUUAGUUCUCAGAACUAUAUAAUCUGAAGGUCAGAACCUUUCCAGUGUGUCCUCCAUCCUCCCAGUUUUUACAUGGCCAUGUUUAUGUUGGAGUUGGACUGUUGAUUCGCAAGUGAUUUAGCAGUGUGGCUGUGCCGCCUGCAGGGAGAAUUUUGAUAAGCACGUUUUCUGCUAUGUAUUUCAGAUCAGCUUUUCAUGUAGUUCAUUGGUCAGUUGGUUGUUUGUGAGAUAUAAAUAUUAUUACACUAUUAUUAAAUAGGAAAAAAAACUUUAUGAACCUUUGCAGGGUUAACUUGCAUUUCUCUACCUUGGAUGACACCGGGAUCAUAUGAUCUACGGAGUACUAUUUUUCCCCGUACACCUUUUUUGGGAAUGAAAAAUUCAAGUGCAUUUGCAAUUAUCUCCAUUACACAUUUUGACCUGUAAUGAUAUUUUCCGCGGUGCGAGGAAUGGAUAUCGACCCCAAAUGGAAAUUGCUAUGGGGAUACCAAAAGUGGGUCAGCGCUCUGUACACUGCAGGUUUCCUACUGAAUUUUGCAUCACCGUCUUAUGGACCCAGUAGCUCUGAACCAGUGUAUGGAUCACUACAUGUUCUGUUGAUGCAAGGUUGUUCUGCUCUUGGCUAUCGGCGCUCCUGGCCUCCCAACCAGGAUUCUCUUCCCUCGCCAACAAAGACUCCGGAAACCCAGUGAAGCUAGAGCAAAGUGGUGGAUAUGUGGCGUAGCUUUUCAUCAACGGCAUGCUCUUGUUCAGCUCGAAGGUUGAGACCUUCCUCCUCUCACCGGUUUGCUUCGGUUAGUAGAACAAACUACACGGCACAUGCUUGUUCAAAUGCUUCUCUCACAGAUUAACAUCUCUGUUUAUACUUGUUCAAAUGUUUUUUAUGUAUAGAUUUGAAUAUGAUAACAGAGGUCAGGUACAACCUCAUAAUUUCAGUUUUCAUCAAUCCUGCUGUGUUCGCAUGGUAGGUUGGUAGCGGCUUAAGAAGUUCAAGCAAUUGCCCUGUAUUUGUACGAGUAGGCCAGAGUACAUAUCAGUAAAAGCAAUAUAAUAUUUAGGAGCCAGGUGUGGUAGCCAAAUAUCAGUAAAAGUAGUUGAUAUUUUGCAUGACCAUUUUAACCAUUACCUCAAAUGGUACCACUUUAUAGUUUGUUAAUUACAAAGAUGAUAAUCUACUUUUUUACAAUGAUAAUCUACUUUUAUGUAAAUAUGAUUAUAGAGGUUUCCAAAGCUGGGCACAGCCUGCCCUGCCAGGCACUAUGCUUGUCGGCGCCCUGGCCGCUCUGCCUAGCGCCUUGGUAAUCUACUCUUGAGUUUUCCCAUGUGGUUCUGUUUGAAAACCAUACAAAUAGCAGACUUGUUAACACUACAGUCACUACAUGUUUCAUUGCCAAGAAAUAAUGGCAUAUUCUGAUGGAACUUUCAUGUGCAAGUAUCGGGCAUGGGGUAUGAAGUAUGAGGGUGACUAUGAAUCGGUGACUAUGUUGAUUGACACUUCUCCCGGACAAAUGGGUUAGGAAUAAGCCAUAAUGGAUACUUAAACAGUGAACUAGCGCCAGAAAUCUGUUGUGAAAUGGUGAUGGAUCAGCUUGUGAUCCCGCUGUCAUCUCCCUCCCUUGACCUGAUGGUGCUGGACCCUGCUGGUAUUCAUCUCCUCUUUAUGUACUCUCUCGACUAUCAAUCUUCCUCUUAGUAGCUUCUUACAUCAAUAUAACAUGAAUAUACCUGAAUAUUAUUAAUGAGGAAAAGUAAGCUGAACGUUCGGCUAGCAUUGAAAAGUAUUUGGAGCGGUUCAGCCCUGAAGUAAUUUCUCUUUUCCUUUACCAUAGAUCUAAUCUCUUGUAGUCACGUGAUAGUGGAUACAUGAAUAUCAUGAAAUAGGUUGAAAAGAGAGGCUUGCGAUUGACCACACACGUUUUGAGUUACCUGAGUGUUUUUGCAAUUUUCUGCUAUGUUACGAUAUACUGAUUUCAGUACUGUGUUCAAUCUUGCAACAACACUAAUGUUAAUUAAUGGUAAUUUCUAUAGGCUAAACCUCGCAGUCACUGCUGUUGUCAUCAGUUCAUGUAUUUUUCUCUAUUAAUAUGCUCAUCUCUGCUUGGAACUUUCGGCAAACAAAUGUAAUCUGGCGAUCUUAUCAUAUCAGGCCCACGUAUCAUGUUAAUAUGAUGUCUAUCGUUGAAGCUGGCUACUAAUCUGCAAGGUGUCUUUUGGUCUUUCUGCAUUGCAAUACCAGGUUUCAGUUCUUGUGUUAACUUUGUAAAAGGUGCAAAAUACUCGAGUAUAGAUGGAUCACGAGCAUGCUGCUUAUGGGAAGUGUGAUUUUAUUGUUUGUUAUGUGCAAAACUUUCCGGGCAAUUUAUCAUGUAGGUAACGCAUAUAGAUGGUUUACUCUAAUUUAGGCAUUUCUCUCAUGUACUGAUUCUGCCAUUCGCGCGAUAGCGCAAGAUGUGCAGUUUUGGGGAUUAGGCAAUUGUAUAUAUAUAGUUAUUUAAUGUGUAUUCUUGAUGUUACCUUACUAAUAAAAGAUUACUAUCCAUGAUUACUAUAGAUUAAUUAUGAGGACUUGGUGCUCCACUAUCUCAUUCCCCCACUCAGGUGAAUGGCCAGUAGAUGUCAGCUGGAUGUUUUGCGCCAGUGCACGAUGAGGAGAUGGUGGGGCCUUCUGGCGUUCUUGCAGCAAUGGCUCACCUUGCAGUGCGGUAUCCUCGGCCAGAUUUUGGUGAUCUUGCCAGCAACCUUGCCAUCUCGAACUUGUCCCUAGAUGCAAAAGGAGAGGUGCAAAUUUGGAUUGAAUGAUGCCUUUCUUACUAAAAAGAAGAGCUCAUGUUCUCUGUUAAAAAUGCCUUAUCUCCAUUGUUUCCCAGUGUUGGACAAUAAUUAUACUGCCCCUUCGUACAAUGGAGCUGGAGUGCAUAUGGAAGUGUGUUGCAUGUCACAAAAGAAUCAAAAGAAUCUGCGCAUCACUUCCCAAGAUAGAAAGCUUUUAUAAAUUUGUGAACAUAUGUUUGUAUAUUCGUAUUUUCCUCAACAGCUUGAAAUCUUUGGAAAGUAAUGCCUCACACAAUUCAGUAACAAGUUCUUAUUGAUUUCUUUCAGGUUCGGUUCACAUGAUGAAUUGGGGACGAUACCGCAGAAGUUCAUCCCUGCCUCAGAUGGCUAUAUCAAUGCAGUCAUGGUAACGGAUUAUCCAAAUGCUGAUCUUUUAGAUUUGCUGCUCAAGAAGAGCAAUGGUAUGCUUUUUCUCAGUCAGCAAAAACAUGUAAAUAAUUAUGAGUACAGCCUGAUGAAUCUGCGAUGAUUCAAGAUACUUGCUCACUAACCUGUAUCAUCACAGAUACCAUUUGGAUUUGUUGAGAGAUGUAGAGGUGCCGACGUCUACAUGUUGUGCCACUAAAACCAUAAUUGAGUUUUUUCUGUGUUCAUAAAAUAGACUGCUUAGGACUCCUAUGCAUUGAAAAAAUAUUUAGUGAAGCUCUUAUUGCAUGAUACUGGCAUCCAUGGUUUGUAUGUAUUUCCAUGUACAGAAAAUAAUAUAGCAUUCAGAUGUCUUUGCUGGAUACUUAUGGUACAAUAUUUUCUCGCUUGUGUCUUUGCGCCAGUGCCUUGUGGUGCGCUGCUUCAACUAUGGGUUGUUUCCUACGCUGUUAAGAUAAUGUGAUGCCCUACCUAUCUGCCUUU